rnacentral:rRNA from 1 species
AGAGUUUGAUUAUGGCUACAGGAUGAACGCUAGCUACAGGCUUAACACAUGCAAGUCGAGGGGCAGCAUGAAGUUGCUUGCAAACUUGAUGGCGACCGGCGCACGGGUGAGUAACGCGUAUCCAACCUUCCCUAUACUAGAGGAUAGCCCGGCGAAAGUCGGAUUAAUACUCUAUGUUCUUCGUAGAAGACAUCUGAAAUGAAGCAAAGGUUUACCGGUAUAGGAUGGGGGAUGCGUCUGAUUAGGUUGUUGGCGGGGUAACGGCCCACCAAGCCCACGAUCAGUAGGGGUUCUGAGAGGAAGGUCCCCCACAUUGGAACUGAGACACGGUCCAAACUCCUACGGGAGGCAGCAGUGAGGAAUAUUGGUCAAUGGACGAGAGUCUGAACCAGCCAAGUAGCGUGCAGGAUGACGGCCCUAUGGGUUGUAAACUGCUUUUAUACAGGGAUAAAGUUCACUACGUGUAGUGUUUUGUAGGUACUGUAUGAAUAAGGACCGGCUAAUUCCGUGCCAGCCGCGGC